rnacentral:rRNA from 1 species
AGCAGCCGCGGUAAUUCCAGCUCCAAUAGCGUAUAUUAAAGUUGUUGCAGUUAAAGAGCUCGUAGUUGAAUUUUAGGCCUGACCGGACGGUCCGUCUCUGGCGAGUACUGUUCUGCUGUCGGGUCUAUCCUUCUGGUGAGCCGAUAUGCCCUUUAUUGGGUGUGUCGGGGAACCAGGACCAUUACCUUGAAAAAAUUAGAGUGUUUAAAGCGGGCUUUUGCUUGAAUAGAUUAGCAUGGAAUAAUAGAAUAGGACGUUGGUUCUAUUUUGUUGGUCUAGGACCACCGUAAUGAUUAAUAGGGAUAGUUGGGGGCAUUAGUAUUCAAUUGUCAGAGGUGAAAUUCUUGGAUUUAUUGAAGACUAACUACUGCGAAAGCAUUUGCCAAGGAUGUUUUCAUUAAUCAAGAACGAAAGUUAGGGGAUCGAAGACGAUCAGAUACCGUCGUAGUCUUAAACAUAAACUAUAGCCGACUAGGGAUCGGAUGAUGUUAAUUUUUAAUGACUCAUUCGGCGCCUUACG